rnacentral:rRNA from 1 species
CGCGCAGGCGGUUAUACAAGCCUGGUGUGAAAGAUCGCAGCUCGACUGCGGGACUGCACUGGGAACUGUAUGACUGGAGUUCAAGAGGGGAAGCUGGAAUUCCUGGUGUAGGGGUGAAAUCUGUAGAUAUCAGGAAGAACAUCAGUGGCGAAGGCGAGCUUCUGGCUAUGAACUGACGCUGAGGCGCGAAAGCGUGGGGAGCGAACAGGAUUAGAUACCCUGGUAGUCC